UUGUUUAAUCAAAAGAGGAUUACUUUUGUUUUACUUCCUCCUUUUUUGAAAUGGCUGCAAAGUGGUGGAUGUGGUUUAUUUGGUUUCCAGCAGUUAUUCAAUGUUACAAUAACAUAUGUGAACCAUAUAAAUGUACAGCAACACAGAGCUCUACAAAAGAUGCUUUAUCAGCAGAUAAAGUGAUCGAUGAAGAUAACCUACAGUUCUACGAAAGGUGCUCACAUACAGCUGAAAACGAAACAGGGCCAGCAUGGGUUAUCGUGGACCUAGGAAAAGAAUAUAGACUGAAAAACAUAACAAUCUUUUAUAGAGAUGA